UACGUAGGGUGCGAGCGUUGUCCGGAAUUAUUGGGCGUAAAGGGCUCGUAGGCGGUUUGUCGCGUCGGGAGUGAAAACCCGCGGCUUAACUGCGGGCUUGCAGUUGAUACGGGCAGGCUAGAGUUCGGUAGGGGAGACUGGAAUUCCUGGUGUAGCGGUGAAAUGCGCAGAUAUCAGGAGGAACACCGGUGGCGAAGGCGGGUCUCUGGACAGUUCCUGACACUGAGACACGAAGGCCAGGGGAGCAAACGGG
rnacentral:rRNA from 1 species